rnacentral:lncRNA from 1 species
GUCAAUCAUUUGGCUUGUCGGCACCGGUGCGACGGGUUGGCUAUCGGUCCCAAUGCCGGGUGUUUGCCAGAGUAUGGUCGGAGGAGUAAGCUCCUCCAUGAAAUAAUGCAAUUUAGAGAUGUUUGAUUCUAAGGCCCUGAGAAGCAAUUGGGUCGGGCUGCGGCAGGCUGAGGUGCGCUGAAUGGUCCAAAACAUGUUUGAAUUGAGCCAGAGAAGUGAACAAGCAGACUCCAAAACAUGUUUGAAUUGAGCCAGAGAAGUGAACAAGCAGACUCCGGUGAGGAGGUUGUCAGCGCCGCCACAAACAUGGUCAGCUUGAUGGUGGUGAGCCGUUGCAUGUUCGAGGUCAAGGGAGAGUAAGUCGAGCGAGUUCAAACAAAUAGUGGCAAAGCUCAUGACAGACCGCGGCGAUGGUGAACAUGGGGUACCACGUUCCGAAAGUAGCCUGGAUGGACGUGCAGGGCACCGAACGCCGCACGAAGGAGGUUCCACGCAAUGCUCAGUCGGAUUGUGGCUUGGAUGCCGUCUUGGCUCAAUGCGAAGGCUCCGGCAGCAAGGACUGCAGAGAGCGGCUCAUCGACAGCAACGUCAAAGCUCUACUGCUGGUUAUUUAGUUGGUGCUCUUGUGCUAUGUUUGCCGCCUAUAAUUUAUAAAGCGGAUUAGAUAUUUUUCAUUCAAUUAGUAUUUUCAAUCUAAAUUUUGCCCGGCGCCAAAUGUUGUCUAUAAUUAUAAUUAUUAUUGUUUUUUUUUUUUUUGGUUGGCUAGGUGUUGUGGAUUGGAAAUAAAUUUGGCUCACUACGGAUGCAUCUCUACUCUGUUAACUCUUGUGUAGAAAAACAAGCAAUAAUUUGGAGUUUAAAAAAAGAAAAAGAAAAUAAGGGAUGCAAUUUUUAACUCAUUCAGUGAGACGUGAUACAAUACGAUUGGAUGGUCACUUUUUACAGUAAGAUGCGAGACUGCCAGAAAACGAAGACCGUCAGAUUCGACAUGAACGGACGUGAUUCGUUCAGCGCCGAAACAUCAACCCUGCUCACGCAUCCAUCAAAGCACGCGCACCGGUAACUGGCGUAACUUCCCUGCCGAGCUGGUUACCAUCUAAACGAAACCG